rnacentral:rRNA from 1 species
CUGCUGCCUUCCGUAGGAGUCUGGACCGUGUCUCAGUUCCAAUGUGGCUGUUCGUCCUCUCAGACCAGCUAUAGAUCGUCGGCUUGGUAGGCCUUUACCCCACCAACUACCUAAUCUUCCGCGGGCCAAUCUUAGA